rnacentral:rRNA from 1 species
CAGAGGGUGCUAGCGUUAAUCGGAUUUACUGGGCGUAAAGCGUGUGUAGGCGGUUUGUUAAGUCGGGUGUGAAAUCCCUGGGCUCAACCUGGGAAUUGCAUUCGAUACUGGCAAGCUAGAGUACGGUAGAGGGCGGCGGAAUUCCGGGUGUAGCGGUGAAAUGCGUAGAUAUCCGGAGGAACACCGAUGGCGAAGGCAACCGCCUGGGCCUGUACUGACGCUGAGACACGAAAGCGUGGGGAGCAAACAGGAUUAGAUACCCUGGUAGUCCACGCCGUAAACGAUGAGAACUUGACGUCGGUUUGCUCUGCGAAUCGGUGUCGAAGCUAACGCGCUAAGUUCUCCGCCAGGGGAGUACGGCCGCAAGGUUG